GACGAACGCUGGCGGCGUGCUUAACACAUGCAAGUCGAACGGGGCUGCUAUGAUGGAGUUUUCGGACAACUGAUUAGUAUGCCUAGUGGCGGACGGGUGAGUAACGCGUGAGUAACCUGCCUUUCAGAGGGGGACAACAGCUGGAAACGGCUGCUAAUACCGCAUAAUAUAUACAGGUCGCAUGAUUUGUAUAUCAAAGAUUUAUCGCUGAAAGAUGGACUCGCGUCUGAUUAGCUGGUUGGUGAGGUAACGGCCCACCAAGGCGACGAUCGGUAGCCGGACUGAGAGGUUGAACGGCCACAUUGGGACUGAGACACGGCCCAG
rnacentral:rRNA from 1 species